rnacentral:tRNA from 1 species
UCAGUUUUAGUAUAAGUUUAUUACAGGGGCCUUGUAAGUCUCAAAUUUGCUCAAAAGCAAAGACUGAU